GGGGAUGUGAUGGAAUUGGCAGACGUAGCGGACUCAAAAUCCGCCGAUAGUGAUAUCGUGUGGGUUCGACUCCCACCAUCCCCACCA
rnacentral:tRNA from 1 species